CUGGGCUGUUGGGGCGGGAAACAAGACAGGUGCUUCUCAGAACCUGUGUUUCAGGAUCUUCCCUCUGCCUUGGCGAAUUCCGGGCGCGACCUCCAGGCCAUGAACGAAUUCAGGCUCUUGGGCUCAGCGGAGAUGGUAAAGAACUGAGGGCCCAGAAUUCCACAGUUUCAGCACAGAGAGUUCGGACGUAGGGCACGGCUCUUUCAGCACCAAGGACAGAGCCCACGGUUUGGAAGCUGAAGCCUCCAGUUCGUCGGCUUAGGUCGCCAGUAUCUAGCAAACCCGCCUCCCUCGCACCAUCCGCCUCCAGGCAGUCAAGGAUGCCUGGGGCUUGGGAACAUGACCCUCCGCCCACAGUACCCCUUCUCUGGGAGGUUUAAAGAUACUCCAAGUGGAUUUGGAGCCAAACCUUUCGGCAAAGGAAAAAAAGGAGUGGGUGAAGUAUGCGUAAAAUAUGGUCCACGUCAAGGCACCCCUGGAAGACACUCACACUCACCCCUGAAAGACAGGAAGGGGUUAAAAAUUGUGGCAAGCGAGAGAGAAUUCCAGCCGGAAUUGAACGCAGCCAAGAGGACUCCGGAAAUUACAACCUUUUCUUCUGAAGAACAGUGAAACUUCGAGAAGGCAAUGGCAACCCACUCCAGCACUCUUGCUUGGAAAAUCCCAUGGACGGAGGAGCCUGGUGGGCUGCCAUCUAUGGGGUUGCACAGAGUCGGACACAACUGAAAUGACUUAGCAGCAGCAGCAGCAAAUAAAUGGGAUGCAAGGAAGAUGA